UAAUACGUAGGGGGCAAGCGUUGUCCGGAUUUAUUGGGCGUAAAGAGCGUGUAGGCGGCCAGACAGGUCCGUUGUGAAAACUGGAGGCUCAACCUCCAGACGUCGAUGGAAACCGUCUGGCUAGAGUCCGGAAGAGGAGAGUGGAAUUCCUGGUGUAGCGGUGAAAUGCGCAGAUAUCAGGAAGAACACCCGUGGCGAAAGC
rnacentral:rRNA from 1 species